rfam:Nocardia brasiliensis ATCC 700358, complete genome.
GCGAACGAGUGCCGCGCGGCCUCUGCCCGGACGCGGACCCUGACGUACUUCCCCGACGCCAGGUGCCGCGGCUCGGUCAGAGACCACGGGGCAUUCGUCUCCGGCA